AUUUGGGAACACUAAAAUAGCAUUUAACUAAAAACUAGUACCAAUAAACCACAGUUAAUGACCACUUAAAAAACUAAACGUUCACUUAAAGGGAUUUAAAAGUCUGCUUAAAAAAAGGGAUAAAGAGUUGAAUAAAUAAAUAAAUAAAAAGAAAAAGGUGAGGAUGCAGACAGAACUCAAUCGUCCUUCUCUCUCUAUCUCGCGCUCCUCCCUCACCGUCAACCUUCGCUCACUUCUCUCAACCUCUCCGCGACAACCUCUCCACGAAUCUCUCUCACACUCUCAACCUCAACGAAUCUCUCAAUCGCAUCUUUCUCGAUCUCGUUCCCAAUCAAACUCCGAUGCUCAACAACGCUAAACAAAAGACAAGCAUAAAUCCACGGUUUCAAAGAGACAUCAAGCAGGAAUCUCACCUUUGGCGAUGACAAUGAAUCAGAUUAGGGUUUUCAAUUGGUGUCUUGGAUUCAAAAGAGGCGUUCCUGCAAAACACUUUUUUUGUGCUCAGUAUCGGAUUGGUCCCUUUGAUGUUUGGAUUUGGAACAGUGAAAAUUGAAGCAUUGGUUUCGGUUCUCACGACCUUGUUGGUGUACUCGGUUUUGGGUUCUUUAUGAUUUCAGUUUGGAUGUGUGAGGAUGGUGUGCCGAUACGCUAAUCAACAUGAAGUUCUUCAUGACAUUUAACCGGUCAAUUAAGCCAGGUGUGAUUAAACACAAGAUUGCACGCUGCUGCUGUGGAUUAGCAUUCCUCUGCUGUUGGUGUUGUAACCGAGCCAGUUUCAUCUUUGUUAGCAUAUCCGUAUCAGCACGAGGAAAAGGAGGACCACCUGCUUGAAGGGGUGAUCCAACAUUUGAUACUAACCCCCGACAGGAUUUGAAAGGCCGUCCUUACCUACGCCCAUAUUCCUAUUGUUCAGUAGCAUUCUGAGUCUUCUACUUAUUGAUGCAGACAACAGCUAACACAUACUCCAGCCAUCGCCCCAGAAAAAGCAUGUUCUUGCUUGGCGAGGGAAUGGAAAGCCUGCUUAUGAUUCGCAGAGAAGAUCUGAUCCUUACGUUCAUUAUCACUUAUAUAUGAUAAACGCCUUCUUUGGAUUUCCAUUAAUUCAAUAUCAUCAAUCUUAUAUUGGCACUGCACAAAACCACUGUCACAGGUAGCUAAAGAGCUGUUAAUAUGAUAAUCUGCAUAGGUACUAGAAGAUAAGGUAUGAAAGGCACCAAUUCCCUCUGAUUAUCCGGCACAGCUUGAAGAAAAUAGUCCAAACACAGUGGGUUAACUUUGUUUGUGAUUGGAACUGCAUCAUUAGAUAACGAUGAAGCUUCAUGUAUUACUACAUCAGGAUUGGAUACAUCGCUUUCAUUAGCCAAUGAAGUGGUAGUCGUGUCUAUUGAAAUGCAGUCCCUGGCAACCGAAGAAUUACUUUCCAGAUUCUCCAGCUCAGUAUCUUUACUCCCAAGUUCCUUUUCAUUAAUAUUCAUUUGAAUUUUUAUCAUGCGCCUGCAAAACUCUCUCGAAUAAAGAAUGAAUAUAAUCUUGGUUUCCAUAAGCAGAUUUAAGAAUCAACAUCUUUUGUGUUACCGUAGGGAAAUCCAAUUUUUCCUGCAAAACUUGUGAACUGAAGCAAGUAGCGCUCGGAUUAACAGGAUAAUACUUAGUUGUAUUUGAAGUAACCACACCAUUUUUUCUGAGGAACACAACUGAUAAUUUUAUCUUUUGUGAAUCCUUUUCCAUCAUCUCGGUUCACAUUUUCCUUCUGGUGUAAAAAAGAAAGUGGCCGACUAGCGGAAUCCCAUAACUGGCAAAUUGCGGAAAUGAGCUGAGGUGUUGUCCUGGUGUUA